UACCAGCUCUCCGAGUGGUAGGGAUGAUUAUUGGGCUUAAAGCGUCCGUAGCCGGCUUAGCAAGUCUCCUGUUAAAUUCAGCGACCUAAUCGUUGAGCCGCGGGAGAUACUACUAGGCUAGGAGGCGGGAGAGGUCGACGGUACUUCUGGGGUAGGGGUGAAAUCCUAUAAUCCCGGGAGGACCACCAGUGGCGAAGGCUGUCGACUAGAACGCGCUCGACGGUGAGGGACGAAAGCUGGGGGAGCGAACCGGAUUAGAUACCCGGGUAGUCCCAGCUGUAAACGAUGCGGGCUAGGUGUUGGGGUGGCUACGUGCCACUUCAGUGCCGCAGGGAAGCCAUUUAGCCCGCCGCCUGGGGAGUACGGCCGCAAGGCUGAAACUUAAAGGAAUUGGCGGGGGAGCACCACAAGGCGUGAAGCUUGCGGUUC
rnacentral:rRNA from 1 species